CUUGACCGACCCUAGCCACAGCGGCUGCUCCCGCCCCUGUCCGUAUGUGGCCAGGAGGGCCUGCGCCUC
rnacentral:antisense_RNA from 1 species